rnacentral:rRNA from 1 species
UGCGUAGGGGGCAAGCGUUGUCCGGAAUCAUUGGGCGUAAAGAGCGUGUAGGCGGCUCGAUAAGUCUGCUGUGAAAGUCCAGGGCUCAACCCUGGAAGGCCGGUGGAAACUGUCGGGCUAGAGUCCGGAAGAGGCGAGUGGAAUUCCCGGUGUAGCGGUGAAAUGCGCAGAUAUCGGGAGGAACACCAAUGGCGAAGGCAGCUCGCUGGGACGUGACUGACGCUGAGACGCGAAAGCGUGGGGAGCAAACAGG